ACACCUUAGAAGAGUAGAUUAUUUGGUCCAUUUAUAUUUUACUUUCAAAGAGUGCAAGGCUGAUAGCAAGUUCUCACAUAGUAAUCCAUGGAAAAACUACCUGUUAAGGUAUGCAUAUUUUAGCUUGAAAUCACUGAAGUGGCACAGCAGUGGCCCUAAUGACCCCAAGCCUAAUAUAUUGGAAGAAAAAUCCCAAGUGAGUCUUAAUUAAGUGAACCACUAAGUAAAGCAUACUAAGACAAUACUAAUUGCACUGAUAAACAUAAGCAGUGUGAACAGGAAGUACAUAGAUACACUUGUUAGGGUUUUAUUCAUAUUUGAAAAAAAAAGGAAAGAAAAAGAAAAGAAAACUUUACAUUUUUUUCAUGAGGUCAUCUUCAGUGGUUUAUUUCAAAGAUGCUGCACAAAUUCCAAAUAAAGAUAAGAUGAACUGAGAUGGAAUAAAAGUAAACACUUCCUCAGCAUAUUAGGUUAUUUUUAAACUCUUCAGAGUGGACUUUAUUUUAUUUUAAUCCCAUUUUCCCAGAAAGAAUUUCUUAACUGAACGAAACAAACCACAAGAGGACUAUCUGGUUGUGCGACUACCCAUAUUUAAGGUUGACCUUUUUGAAGUCUAAAGUCAAGUCAGUUUUUUCUCCCAUACCUUCUGCUUUGCUGUUGCUUAUUUUUAAAAGUACUGUACUGCUAAAGUCAAUAGCUGGUCCUCUUCUCAUACACUUUUUAAAAAUUGAAAAUAUAUGAGAAAGAGUAAUUUCAAUUUGAGCAUUUAUUUUAUUGAGGGCUGUGUAGAAGCCUGCUGAAAAAUUACUUCUCUAAUAGUUAGUCACAACUGAAUCUUUCAGAGGAGGAAAGAGCAGACACUAGGCACAGAACAAAGAGCAAAUGAAACAGGAACUGUGGAAUAACACUGUGUUCCCAAAGAAAACAUAACUGCCAUAGAUCACAGAAUGAAAGCCCCAGAGCACGCAGCAGAGAAGUCCAGCAACAGGAGUCAACAUUUACAGAAAACCCUGUAGGAAGACUGUGGCACUACCAACUGAUCAACAUGUUACAGAACUCAUUUUAUACUGCAGCCAGGCUGAGGAGGGCCCAUCACCUGCACAUAAAUAUUUGGACAGUGGCGACAACUUGAAGACAGCUAGCUGCAGAGUGAUAUUCCAGAAUAAGAGUUUUGAAGCUCCAGAUGACUAGCUGACCUGGGUAUUAAUGCUGGAUAUAGCAACGUCCUUCUAUGUCCUUCUAAAUUUUCUUCAUGAGUAGUGAUAAGUUAUGCUGAGAAAAAUUCUUGAACCUACAGUUAUACAACAUUGUUCUUGCCGCCUUUCAAAAAUGGACAAUGUCUCCCAUAUGGAAUAUCUACUGAUGAUCUUGCAAGAAGGUGAAUAAAAAAUCCAAUGAAGACAUAAAACGAGUUUCAUUUAAAAAAUCUGGUAAAAUGGAAGUUUGCUUUACACAAACAGUAAAGAAGCCUUGGAAGAUAAUGUUGACUUCCCAUGCUCAAAAGUACUCUGACUCAGGAAGAUAGCUCCAGCCCUUCAAAGGAAGGGCUGUCUGCAAUAAAUGCCCAUGGAGACCUCUCAGCAAUUCCAUAAGAUAAGUGAAUUGGCUUAAAUCAAAUGUUUUGCAGUUCCAUUUACAGAGCAUUUACUGGCCAUCGUGUACUACUCAAGUUACUAGAACACUAAGUUGACUCAUGCUUGGAAAUACUGGUUUUAUGUUGCUAUCAGAGUAUUGUCAUAAAUCCACCCACAAUUACAAAGAGUCCUACUCUGCUGCUGUAGCUACCUUUAACUCCUUGCCCUCAGCAAAUUGUAUGCCUAGGGAGAUGGACUACUUCGGCCUUGAGAAAUUUCCAAUUAGGUCAUUUUGAGAAGCAGUCUGGAUGUGUGGUCUGAAAUAGCAUUUCCAGUUUUUGCCUAUUUUUAUUUUUGAGAACUGCUUGCAAAUAAAUGCCACUGAGUUUGUUAGGAAGAGGUUACUCUUUACUACCUUUGGGAAUUGUGCCUUACCCUUAGGUUGCACAGCUUCUAUUUUCUGAGUCCCUUCUGAUUUUCUCAUAUGGUUGCUGCAAAUUGCAAAAUCAUUGUAAGCUUCUGUUUCUUCACUAGCAAAAUGAGAAAUAGUAACACACCUAGGGAUUGGGAGGAUGAACUGAGGAAAUAUAGCCAUUGGAUUAUUUUUAUAAGGCCCCUACAAAUUGAUGGCAAAAAAAGACCUGGCCCUUUGAAAGAGCAUCCCAUCUCCUCAAAUGUGUACUAGUGAGUUUACAAGAGGCUAUAAUGACAGCUGAAGUUAUCCUUGUUCAAGUAUAAAUAUGGACUUGGAAAAAUAAGUCAGGAAUCUAUGGAACUGCAUUGAAAACUCAGCUGUGCAUUGCUUAGUCACAUAGGAAACACGGUAAGGAAAUGCAAUGUGAUCAGAUCAGCUUAACCCCUAGAGUGCAAGCUGGAUACGGGAGCAGGGCAGUAAAACCAGGAAAACUGAGGGGAUGGUAGCCUUUUAGGAGAAAAAUAUAAGAGGAAAAACAAAUCUAGGAAAGAAAAAUAUGAAGCAGAGAAAAGGCUGUGAAAAGAAAGAGAAAAAUCAGUCUAAGAAGCCAAGAUAUUUGAGUAGCAGGCAGUGUUUUGAAUGUGCAAUGAUGACAAAUAAUCCCAAAGAUGGAUGUGUGUCACACGCUGGAGAGCAGUGACAGUGAGAAGAUGAGAUGUCUCUAAGGCAGACCUUGGUUUAAAUCUCAAGUCUGUGGCUUAUUAACUUUGCAGUGUCAAGCAACUUACUUCAUUCUUCUGAGACUCAUCUGUAAAAUAUGGAUAAUUACUGUAUUUCUGCACUGUUGUGAAUAUUUUAGUUAAUAUAUGCAUAUUUGUCCCUAGCAAAAUGCAAUGAGUAACAGUUAUUAGUUAGUCUAAAGAGGAAAUAAAGGGAGGGACAACUAAGAGUAAAGUUGUCCACUUUCUACUUCAGCUCUCCCCUCCAAGGGAAAAGGUGAUAUGUUGGUGCUAAGUCUGACUGAAGGCAUCUGGGUCACAUGUACCUAUGAGAGUCCCUGACUAGAAUCUAGUUGUUUCCUGCAAUAAUAUCAUAUGUAUUAGAGCAGGUUGUUCAACAGAGUAAUAUGUGUGGUUAUUUAAAUUUAAACUAAAAGUUAAAAUAUGCUUUGUUUCAAUAGCUACAUUUCAAAUAAUCAACAGCCACAUGGCUGGUAGGCAGCAUACACACACACACACACACACACACACACACACACAUAUAUUUACAUAUAUGCUGUGCAUAUAUAUGCAUAUCUUUGUGUAUGUAUGUGUAUUUCUGUCAUCACAAAAAGUUCUAUUGUCUGACCUUGCUUGACUACGGUGGAUUAUGUGGCCAAAAAAAAAGUAAUUCCGUAAGUCAAGAAAGUGGGCAAAGAUUGAGGAGAGAAAUUAGAAUAGGAAGAUAGGGCUUCUGCUGAGGGAAGCCCUUCUCUUUUUAAAAAAUACCUGAGGUGAUGGCAGUAGAAAGGAGUGCUUAAGAUUAGAAAGGUGAGUUAACCAUAAACUGUGAUGUCUAUGGCCUGGGGCAAGGAUGAAAGGAUUGCAGCCACACUUGAAAUUUGCUCUAGGAGUGGUAUUGUGGUCCCAGAAAACCUAUUACAUGGUGACUAACAUGGAGA
rnacentral:lncRNA from 1 species